ACUCAAAUGAAUUGACGGGGACCCGCACAACCAGUGGAGCGUGUGGUUCAAUUUGAGACGAAGCAAAAAACCUCACCAGGGAUUGACAUAUUUUUGUAAGCUUUAUGAAAGUAGAGCCCUCCCGCAAGGGACAAUUUUACAGGUGUUGCAUGGCUGUCGUCAGCUCGUGCCGUGAGGUGUUCCCUUAAGUGGGGAAACGAGUGCAACCCUCAUUCUAUGUUAAAUAUUCAUAGAAGACUGCCCCGAUUUUUUCGGGGAGGAAGGAGAGGCGGACGUCAAGUCAGCAUGACCCUUAUACCCUGGGCUACACACACCCUACAAUGGCGAAAAACAACGAGUUGCAAGACUGUAAGGUCAAGCUAAUCUCUGAAAUUUCGCCUCAGUUCAGAUUGAGGUCUGAAACCCGACCUCAUGAAGUAGGAAUUGGUAGUAAUCGCGGAUCAGCAGGCCGCGGUGAAUGCGUUCUCGGGUCUUGUACACACCGCCCGU
rnacentral:rRNA from 1 species